GUNUACUUUGAAAANAUUAGAGUGCUCAGAGCAGCGUUCGCCUGAAUAAUGCUGCAUGGAAUAAUGAAAUAGGACCUCGGUYCUNUUUUGUUSGUUUUCUGAACCAGAGGUAAUGAUUAAGAGGGACAGACGGGGGCAUUCGUAUUACGGUGUUAGAGGUGAAAUUCUUGGAUCGCCGUAAGACGAACGACUGCGAAAGCAUUUGCCAAGAAUGUUUUCAUUAAUCAAGAACGAAAGUCAGAGGUUCGAAGACGAUCAGAUACCGUCGUAGUUCUGACCAUAAACGAUGCCAACUAGCGAUCGGCGGGAGUUGUUUNCUUGACUCCGCCGGCAGCUUCCGGGAAACCAAAGUCUUUG
rnacentral:rRNA from 1 species